AGUCGAACGGGGAUUACACAGCGAUGCUAUUUCAGUCAAAUCAAAUGCAAUCUUAUUGGCGGACGGGUGAUUAACCCUUGGGUAACCUGCCUUGCAAUGGGGGAUAACACUUAAAAAUAAGUGCUAAUACCGCAUAAGCGCACGGUCCUGCAUGGGACAGUGUGAAAAACUCCGGUGGUGCAGAAUGGACCCCCGUCUGAUUAACUGGUUGGCGGGGUAAAGGCCCACCAAUGCGACAAUCAUUACCCGGCCUGAAAGGGUGGACGGCCACAUUGGGACUGAAACACGGCCCAAACUCCUACGGGAGGCACCAGUGGGGGAUAUUGGACAAUGGGGGGAACCCUGAUCCACCGACCCCCCGUGAGUGAAAAAGUAUUUCGAUAUGUAAAGCUCUGUCAUCAUGGAAAAAAGCAAUGACAGUACCUGACCAAGCAGCCCCGGCUAACUACGUGCCAGCCGCCGCGGUAAUACGUAGGGGGCAAGCGUUAUCCAGAAUUACUGGGUGUAAAGGGAGGGUCGACGGCUGUGCAAGUUCGGAGUGAAAGGCGGGGGCCCAACCCCCGGACUGCUCUGGAAACUGUAUGGUUGGAGUGCAGGAGAGGUAAGCGGAAUUCCUAGUGUAGCGGUGAAAUGCGUAGAUUUUUGGAAGAACACCAGUGGCGAAGGCGGCUUACUGGACUGUAACUGACGUUGGGGCUUGAAAGCGUGGG
rnacentral:rRNA from 1 species